ensembl:snRNA U6 U6 spliceosomal RNA
GUGCUUGUCUUGGCAGCUCAUAUACUAAAGAUGGAACAAUGCAGAAAAAUUAGCAUAUCCCCUGUGGAAGGAUGAUAUGCACAUCCGUGAAGCAUUUUAUGAUUUU